GACUCUUUAAAGUGCGUCAGAGGGAGGCGAACGCCUGGGAACCCGGAGGCCUGGAUCCGGGCCCAGAAUGGAACGGAGUCGGCGCUACUGCCCCGGCCGUGCCUCCAGCCGCCCGCCCGGCCGCCGACCUCUUGGUGUCUUCGCCCUGCGCUCCGGGCUAGCUCCCUCGCUCCUGCGGCGCCCGCUGCGGCUUCUCUCCUCCUCCUUCGCCUCCUCCGCUUCCCUCUUCUCCUCCUCUUCCUCGUUCCUCUCCUCCUCCUCCUCUUCCUCCUCCUCCUCUUUCCCCCUCCUCCUCCCCCUCAGCCACCGCCUCCUACUGCACCCACACCACUCCCUCCGGGGCACCCGGGUCCCUGCAGAGUCUCGGGGCUGCGCUGCCUUUGCUGCGGACCCCUGGAUCCUAAGCCUGCGGCGCUGGAGCUGAUGGGACUGAAUCACCGACGGACACGCAGAUUUCUUCACACCCUAAGCUCCGCUGCGGUUGUCCCCUGGAGGCCCGCGCCCGGGUCACUGAGAUGGCUUCGGGCGCCCGGCGAGGAAGAGCCAAUGAGGCAGCUUGUUAGCACUCAGUAUGUGCCCAGCUCUGAAUGGAAUACUGAUAUGGACAAUGGUACCUCAGGGUGAUGAGGCCCUCAAGAAGAAUGAAAGAUAUAAACCAAACACUGAAGAAAGGAAGCCACAGUGUGGCCCAAAACUAACAAGUUGUUGUACAGCUUACAACCAUCUACCACUCACCUGCUCAUCGGGACCUCAAGCAUCCUUGGCAGAUUUCCCUACGCUGAGAAGGGAUAUCCUAACGAUCCCUUACUAACUUGAACAUGUCUCCAUAAGCACUGUUUCCAAGCCAGGACUCGUCCAUCAGCACAGCCCCGUGGGAGGUGUGAAUAAAGGCAUCUUCGGAGAAGUGCAAAUAUGUUUUCAUCGUCACACAGGACCUAAGCUGAUCCAAUGGAGGUGAGCUGCGAACGUUACAGCUUCAGGAGUAACCUCCAGCGACUCUUUUCAUUUCCAAUCAGAUCGUCUCCAGGGCCUGUGACACGCCAUGCUCUAAAUGCUGCACAGGCCUUAUCUCUUUUCUUCUCCCAACAACCUUUUGAUAGAGGAAGUCCUUUCUAAUCUACCCAGAGGGAAUCUGAGUCUAAGUUCGGUUCACUGGUAUAUUGUGUGUGUGUGUGUGUGUGUGUGUGUGUGUGUGUGUGUGUGUGUUUCUCACAAGACUGCCUCUGGGUGGGACAAGCACUCUUCUGUUCCCAUGGUGCCAUGGUCCCUUAUUACUAUAGUUGUACUUGCUUCAAAGAUAGGGAACCACUUCAUAAAAUAGCUGCACUGAGAUAUCCACAUAUUGUAUCAGUUAUGCAUUUAAAGUUUGUGUAAAAACCUUCAAUUGUCAGCUUAACUGGAUUUGUAUUCUUUAGGAGACAUACUUCUGGGUGUGUCUGUGAGGAUGUGCCAGAGAGGUUUAACUGAGUAUGGAAGGUGUGCUCCGAAUAUGGGUGGCACCAUUCCAUAAACUAGUGUCCUAGACUGGAUGAAAAGGAAGAAGGAGGAAGCUGCCUGAGCCAUCAUGCGUCUCUUUUGUCUGAAUAUGUGAGCAGUGGCCUCAUUCCUCCCCAUAUAUUUUCUGAUGUGACAGACUGUGUCCCUCCAAACUGAGAGCCACACAAUAGCCUGUAUCCCUUCAAACUGUGAGCCAUGUAACAGAUUGUAUCCCUUCAAACUGUGAGCCAUGUGACAGAUUGUAUUCCUUCAAACUGUGAGCCAAGCAAACCAGUCUUCCUUCCUUGUGUUGCCAGGUGUUUUCCCUCAGUAAUGAAAAAAAAAUAACACAAGGUGAAAGUCAGUGGUUAACAUACAUGGAUGCAUGCAACCUUCACCACAGCCAACCCAUGAACGUGCCCAUCACCUUAAGGGAAAGUCAGUGCCCCAUAAUGAUCAUUUCCCUCUGCUCCCUCCAUCAACCCAAAGCAACUACUAAUCUUUUUUUUCUUUUUAUCUUUAUGGAAUUUCCUAUUCUAUACAUUCCAUGUAAACAAAAGCACACAUAUGACUUUUUGUGUCUGCCCUCUUCCAAUCUCAUAAACAUUGUAGAAUGUAUCCAUACAUUACUGGGUAAAUAACAUUUCACUGUAUGGAUAAGCCACAUUAGGAAUGAUGUUUCAGAAAACAAUUCUCUUGAAAUACAGAAUGUCUUUACUCAACAAAUGAUGUGUGAUUAACAGAAACCUGUUAAGGAAUGUGAUUUGAGGCCCAUAAAUGCUUCAUUCCUCGGGUCCCUAGCAGUGCUGGGUUGUUUUUUUGGUUUUUUGUUUUUGUUUGUUUGCUUGUUUUUUGCUUUUAUCAAGAAGCUGUGGUGGACUUUAAUAAAAUUUUGUUAGUAAACUUUUCUACUUUUGUUGAUAUGAGGUGGAAAUCCAGAAUAUUAACAGGACUGAAGAAUCUUUCCAGGACUUCUCAGAAAUCACAGAAAUAGGAACUAAGGAGAGAUCUAAGUAAGUAAAUGCCUAGCAAUGAAUCUCCAGAGCUCACACACACUUGUAAUUCUAGCCCUGGGAAGGCAGAGGUAGGCCAAUCUCUGGGCUCACUCCACAGAAAGUUUCCAAGUUCCAGGCCAAUGAGAAGCCAUAUCUCAAACAACAACAAAAAGUCAGAUGGAGCCUGAAGUACUACACCUGCAUAAAUCUAUACACAAAAAAGCAGCAGAAACAGAGAGGAGCAGCUGGGGCAACCAAUCCAGGAGCCGAAAGGCAAGUUCUAGACUCUAACUUUUCUCUUAGACUCAACAAACAGACUCACUAAACAGGGAAUUGAAAAUGUCCUUAAGGGGCUGGAGAGAUGGCUUAGUGGUCAAGAGCAUUGACUGCUCUUCCAGAGGUCCUGAAUUCAAAUCCCAGCAACCACAUGGUGGCUCACAACCAGCUGUACUGAGAUCUGAUUCCUUCGUCUGGGAAGGAAGGAAGGAAGGAAGGAAGGAAGGAAGGAAGGAAGGAAGGAAGGAAGGAAGGAAGGGAAAAGAAAGGAAAUACCCUUAAUAUCAAACUAUGAUAGCCUACCAUCAAAAUAUGCCAUGUUUCAGACCCACCCUCAGUUCCUGGGGCCAGAGCCCUGGAUCAAGGUUUGUUUGUUUUACGGAAAGGUUAUUUUCAGUUAAUCAGGCAUUCAAUAGAGCUGAAGAACUACUCCCUUCCUGCCCCACUAGACCCAUCUUGAGCUGAGAAGCAGCCUAGGGAACCAGAAGAAGGGGAUUAUAGAGGGAAUUCUUGACCUAUUUACCCCUCUCCAGAGUGAAACAUUCAGUUAGAAGACACUCACAUGCUGACUUUGAUUCAUUAGUUAAGGCUGUCUAGAAGGUUGUGCUAAGUAGAUUUUGAUCUGGGAUCAAUUAGCCAUGUCUGCACUGUGCAAAGGAGCAGGGUACCCCAUCUCCUCACACACGGCCACUCUGGACAGUACUCUCCAAAGGUCUCUUGGGCUUAGACAUCCUGCAAUCUUAUAAUUUCUCUUACCUUUGUUCUUUUCCUUGUCUUCUCUGAGAAUCUAUUUUGAAGCCGUUUCCAUCCACCAGUGACAGUGGCCUACAGUGGACUGUAUGUACCUAGAGGCGUGUAAGAGUGAGUCUGUGACAUGUAAAUUGGAGACAGCCCAGGGUAGAGGAGGCUAGCUAUCCUAGAGAUGAGAAGUCACUAUGAAAGGCUAGUCAACAUAGAACUGAAUCUCACAGAAUAAAGCAGCUAACAUGGGUAAAGCGAUCACAUCAAGCUAUUCACCAUGAGACAAACACAUGCUAUUGCCUUCAUCUGCCUAGAUAGAUCAUGAAGGGUUGAGAAAGUAAACUCUGUCUUUAAUAAAAACAAAAACAAAGGCUUUCAUAAACCAAUAAGGCACUUGUUGUGUAAGCACAAGAACCUAUGUUGGAGCCUUAAAACUCACAUAAAAAAUGUCAGGUGUGGUAGCAUGUGGUAGCAUGAAUCCCAGUGCUGAGGAGACAAACAGAUCCCUGGAGUAUGCUGGCCAGCUUGCCUAGUCAAAUCGGCGAGUUCAACACUAAGUAAGAGACUCUAUUUCAAAAACAAGGAGGCUAGCACCCGAGGAAGGAUACCAGAAGUUGAUCUCUGGCCUCUACAUGUGCACAGAUACAUACACCAACAUGUGAACAUACCUGUGCAUACACACAUUUGCACUAAAAAAAAAGUGUCAAGAAAGACCUGGGAUGUAGCACAGUGGUUGGAAGAAUAGGAAAAGCAAAGAGAAUUUCAAGCGAAGGCAGACUGGGCAGGUAUAGUGCCUCUGUCAGUGACUAAGAGGCUUAUCUAGUUUCUCGCUUGAGAGGUCCUUGAGACCCUGUGAUGUCCCUGUCCUAGGGGUUUGGGGAGUACCUGGCACUAAGUGAUCCUACUUCCUCAAAACAGCCCAGCAUCCCAGCGUUCUUCACUCUGAGUACUUGGGGGCACCAGCCUGGGCCUGUGGAUUGUUCAGAAACGGGCCCUCCCAUCAGCAGGGCAGCGGCUUGCUCUCUUACCACAGAGGCUCUGCACUCACCAGUUCCAAUAACACGAUUAGUCAUUUUUCAUUCCUGAGAUAUCUGCCCAUGGGUGGGUGCGUGUGUGCAUGUGUGAGGGUGUCUGUGCCUUUCGUGGAAGGGAAAAUCCAUAUUCUCUCUCUUCUGCCCGAAUUAAUCAAAUAAAUCUUCUGUAAGAAGCUGCUAAAUGAGUCACAGAUGGCUCUGCCCUUUUACAGGUUACAGAAAGCACCCGUUACAGUCUUUUUAAUUUAUCAGAGGAAAAAAGAUGCCCUCCUGUGCCCCUUCCCUCUCACAGUAAUAAUCAGAAACAGCCUAUUUUCCGAGGGUCCGAGACUCAUUUUCAAAAAAAAAAAAUGUGUAUCAAUAGAUGUAACAGUGGGAAGACUAUUUUGCCAAGUUCCAGCCUCCAGCACGGCAAAGGUGCCCUGGCUGGGGAGAGCAUUUAUAAAACCACAUUUAAUAAAAGAGAGUGUUAUAUUAA
ensembl:antisense Emx2os Emx2 opposite strand/antisense transcript (non-protein coding)